rnacentral:misc_RNA from 1 species
CGGCGGCGCUGUCUGACCGUUCGCGUUCUUCCUGCGCACGUUCUUCGUGUUCGGCAGCUUGUUAUCUUUCUUCCACUUCAUGCGCCGGUUCUGGAACCAGAUCUUAAUCUGCCGCUCGGACAACACCAGGGUAUGAGCGAUCUCGAUCCGUCGCCGUCUCGUCAGGUACCUAUUGUAAUGGAAUUCCUUCUCCAGCUCGAGGAUCUGGUGCCUCGUGUACGCGGUCCUCUGUCGCUUCGGCUCCAUCCCUGGCUGGUACGAGCCGUUCGCUGCAAGAACCAAACAGAGACAUCGAGUGGAGUUAGUUGACUGGCUUCUAGGGACCAGAAUCUGGUCGAAUUUAUUAAGAUCGUGUGGUUAAAAAUGGUUGUUUUUAAGGAAACCGAGAAUAUAACGAGGAGUUAGAAAUAAUAGAGUGAGGUUAGUUGACUGGCUUCUAUGGACCAGAAUCUAGUCGAAUUUAUUAAGAUCGUGUGGUUAAAAAUGGUUGUUUUUAAGGAAACCGAGAAUAUAACGAGGAAUUAUAAAUAAUAAAGUGAGGUUAGUUGAUUGGCUUCUAGGAACCAGAAUCUGGUCGAAUUUAUUAAGAUCGUAUGGUUAAAUAUGGUUAUUUUUAAGGAGACCGAGAAUAUAUAUAGAAAUAAUAUAUUCUUGAAAUUGUUGAGAAACGUUAAGUUGGUAUGAUCGCCUACAAGUUAAGUUGGUAAGACUUUUAACGACGCUGCUUUGUCUUAGAUGUCGACCACGUGUUAUUUAUCUAAGUGUAUCCGCUUUCGAACGAGUACAGGCUUCGACCAGUGACAAGCAUCAUUAUUUUAAGACUUGUACUAUUGGCGAUAGUCUCGAGGCGACGUGUCACCGUCUAGUGGCACACGCUCGACUUCAUGGAACGCGCGAUCACCGAUCGCAAUGGAUAAAGAAGCGUGACACGUGCACCGACACCAUCGUUCUCCAGUGAAACGCUGAAACAACUGACUCUACAAUUUUCCAAUCGGCUGACCGAUAUUUCAAGGCCGUGUUGCUCGAGCGCCAAAUAGCUGAAAUAGGUUCCAGUAGGAUUAUCAAAGUUGUUAGGCAAAAUGUCAAAAGAAUGCGAACAUAAAUUUGGUAAAUUCCAAUUGGUCCUUUUGGUUGUGAAAUAAUAUGAAAAUUGUACAUAUAUUGUAAAAUUGAAAGUAAGUUGUUCAGAAGAAAGCAUUUUGAUGAAGAACAAGUCUGAAGUUAGUCAAAAGAAUGAUGAUUUGCUUUGAUACUCCAACAUAAAUUUGGUAAAUUCAGAUGGGGUCUUUUAGCUGUGAAAUAAUAUGAAAAUUGUAUGUACAUUGUAAAAUUGAAAGUAAGUUGUUUAGAAGAAAGCAUUUUGAAGAAGAACUAGUCUGAAGUUAGUCAAAAGAAUAAUGAUUUGCUUUGAUACUCCAACAUAAAUUUGGUAAAUUCCAAUUGGUCCUUUUGGUUGUGAAAUAAUAUAAAAAUUGUAUGUACAUUGUAAAAUUGAAAGCAAGUUGUUCAGAAGAAAGCAUUUUGAAGAAGAACUAGUCUGAAGUUAGUCAAGUGCUUGUGAAAUAAUAUGAAAAUUGUACAUAUAUUGUAAAAUUGAAAGUAAAUUGUUCAGAAGAAAGCAUUUUGAUGAAGAACAAGUCUGAAGUUAGUCAAAAGAAUAAUAAUUUGCUUUGAUACCCUAAUAUAAAUCUGGUAAAUUCCAAUUGGUCCUUUUGGUUGUGAAAUAAUAUGAAAAUUGUACGUAUAUUGUAAAAUUGAAAGCAAGUUGUU